rnacentral:tRNA from 1 species
GCAUUGGUGGUUCAGCGGUAGAAUUCUCACCUUCCACUCGGGAGGCCUGGGUUCAAUUCCCAGCCAACGCC